GUUUCUAUAGUUGAAUAACAACGGUGGUUUUUCAAGUCACUAGUCUUGGUUAGAGUCCGAGUAGAAAUU
rnacentral:tRNA from 1 species